AGCUCCAAUAGCCUAUGUUAAAGUUGCUGCAGUUAAAAAGCUCGUAGUUGGAUAUCUGACUGGGAAAGCCGGUCCGUGGUCUUGAAUGGCCGUGUGUACUAGGCGUUUCUUGGUCAUCCUCAUGGAGAGCAUGUUCUGGGCUUAGUUGUCUGGUCAUGGGACCCAUGUCAUUUACUGUGAAAAAAUUAGAGUGUUCAAAGCAAGCGUUGAGCUUGAAUACAUUAGCAUGGGAUAAUAAUAUAGGACUUUGGUGCCUAUUUUGUUGGUCUUGCGUACCAAGGUAAUGAUUAAAAGGGAUAGUUGGGGGUAUUUGUAUUCAAUUGUCAGAGGUGAAAUUCUUGGAUUUAUGGAAGACAAACUACUGCGAAAGCAUUUACCAUGGAUGUUUUCAUUAAUCAAG
rnacentral:rRNA from 1 species